UACGUAGGGUGCAAGCGUUGUCCGGAAUUAUUGGGCGUAAAGAGCUCGUAGGCGGUCUGUCGCGUCUGCUGUGAAAACUCGGGGCUUAACCCCGGGCCUGCAGCCGAUACGGGCAGGCUAGAGUUCGGUAGGGGAGACUGGAAUUCCUGGUGUAGCGGUGAAAUGCGCAGAUAUCAGGAGGAACACCGAUGGCGAAGGCAGGUCUCUGGGCCGAUACUGACGCUGAGGAGCGAAAGCGUGGGGAGCGAACAGG
rnacentral:rRNA from 1 species